AAGAGUCUUGGGAUGGCUGAAGAGAAAGAAUGUGAGAAGUAAAUUAGUGCCUCAAAUUUGCCUACUUCAUCCCCAACAGAGGAGAUCAUGACUAUAUCAAUAAUGGAGCCUGGGCCCAGACAACUGGUUAAGAGAGAGGUCAUUCUGACCUCAGAACAUAGGAGAGAUGGAUAUUGUACACCACAGAGUCCAGGAUGACUAGCAGUGAAGGAUUCAAAUGCCUGGCGAAAUCUCCUAUACAACCGGAGAGACCCAAGUCCCCAAAGACAAGAAGGGAUGAUGAAAUGGCCUCUGCAUGACAUGACUUGCCUAUGAGCCCUCCCAUUGCUAUAAGGAUGGGGAUCUUAGCACAGUGCCUUGUGUGAACAGUAAUGCUAGCCUUGAUUUUACCAUGGCAAGUUUGUUUAGGGAAAAAUUCAACCCACCCAUUGAAAUUCCAACCUCAACCAAAUGAGGGAUGGCUGGGGAUGCAACCACAAAGAUACUGUAUCUUAGGAGGGGAGUUUUUUUUUUUUAUAGAAACUCGUCAGGAUAUUAUUGCUAGGAUGUGUUGUUACUGGGAAAAAAGCUGAUGGAAUACAAAAGAGUAGACAUCCCCACAGGGAUUAUUUGAGGCAAUCAGUGACUAACAUGACCACUUUGCUUUCUCUAUGCAGGUGUCAUCUAUUGUGAUAUAGUGCCAGGAGGUUGCCUUUGCUGUGGCUUUCGACCCUAGAUUUUUAAAUUGUGUGACAAACCCAUCUUUUAUUUAUGUAAAUAAAAUGUCCGUGUUUAUUGGUUAUUGUUAUAUUGUGAAAUUGUAGUAGAUCUAAAAUUGUAAUUUCUUGGAUUCCUAGAAUUUCUAAAUCUGUGGAUUUUUAGAAUUCUCUAGAGGUGACAAAGGUUUAUUAUCUAAGCUACCGGAGCUAUGUACUUUUGGAUAUAAGAGUGUCUCCAUCUCCAUUGCCUUACAAAUCAGGUGUGAGCCAGGCAUGUCUCUCAGACUGGAAAAGGUAACUAAUCAGAAGGAACCAUUGUCCUAGAAUGGGGCAAGUGUACAAUACCCAGAAAGACCACUGGUGCCGUAGCAUAUAACAUAUUCACUCAAUCCUUCAUACCCUUUGUAUCGUUUUUUUUCUGUUUUAUUUAUUUUAUUUAUUUAUUAGAGAUCAUAGUGUG
rnacentral:lncRNA from 1 species